GCUCAGAUUGAACGCUGGCGGCAGGCCUAACACAUGCAAGUCGAACGGUAGCACAGAGAGCUUGCUCUCGGGUGACGAGUGGCGGACGGGUGAGUAAUGUCUGGGAAACUGCCUGAUGGAGGGGGAUAACUACUGGAAACGGUAGCUAAUACCGCAUAACGUCGCAAGACCAAAGAGGGGGACCUUCGGGCCUCUUGCCAUCAGAUGUGCCCAGAUGGGAUUAGCUAGUAGGUGGGGUAACGGCUCACCUAGGCGACGAUCCCUAGCUGGUCUGAGAGGAUGACCAGCCACACUGGAACUGAGACACGGUCCAGACUCCUACGGGAGGCAGCAGUGGGGAAUAUUGCACAAUGGGCGCAAGCCUGAUGCAGCCAUGCCGCGUGUAUGAAGAAGGCCUUCGGGUUGUAAAGUACUUUCAGCGGGGAGGAAGGUGUUGUGGUUAAUAACCACAGCAAUUGACGUUACCCGCAGAAGAAGCACCGGCUAACUCCGUGCCAGCAGCCGCGGUAAUACGGAGGGUGCAAGCGUUAAUCGGAAUUACUGGGCGUAAAGCGCACGCAGGCGGUCUGUCAAGUCGGAUGUGAAAUCCCCGGGCUCAACCUGGGAACUGCAUUCGAAACUGGCAGGCUAGAGUCUUGUAGAGGGGGGUAGAAUUCCAGGUGUAGCGGUGAAAUGCGUAGAGAUCUGGAGGAAUACCGGUGGCGAAGGCGGCCCCCUGGACAAAGACUGACGCUCAGGUGCGAAAAGCGUGGGGAGCAAACAGGAUUAGAUACCCCUGGUAGUCCACGCCGUAAACGAUGUCGAUUUGGAGGUUGUGCCCUUGAGGCGUGGCUUCCGGAGCUAACGCGUUAAAUCGACCGCCUGGGGAGUACGGCCGCAAGGUUAAAACUCAAAUGAAUUGACGGGGGCCCGCACAAGCGGUGGAGCAUGUGGUUUAAUUCGAUGCAACGCGAAGAACCUUACCUGGUCUUGACAUCCACAGAACUUUCCAGAGAUGGAUUGGUGCCUUCGGGAACUGUGAGACAGGUGCUGCAUGGCUGUCGUCAGCUCGUGUUGUGAAAUGUUGGGUUAAGUCCCGCAACGAGCGCAACCCUUAUCCUUUGUUGCCAGCGGUUAGGCCGGGAACUCAAAGGAGACUGCCAGUGAUAAACUGGAGGAAGGUGGGGAUGACGUCAAGUCAUCAUGGCCCUUACGACCAGGGCUACACACGUGCUACAAUGGCGCAUACAAAGAGAAGCGACCUCGCGAGAGCAAGCGGACCUCAUAAAGUGCGUCGUAGUCCGGAUUGGAGUCUGCAACUCGACUCCAUGAAGUCGGAAUCGCUAGUAAUCGUAGAUCAGAAUGCUACGGUGAAUACGUUCCCGGGCCUUGUACACACCGCCCGUCACACCAUGGGAGUGGGUUGCAAAAGAAGUAGGUAGCUUAACCUUCGGGAGGGCGCUUACCACUUUGUGAUUCAUGACUGGGGUGAAGUCGUAACAAGGUAACCGUAGGGGAACCUGCGGCUG
rnacentral:rRNA from 1 species